rnacentral:tRNA from 1 species
ACUUAUAUAGUUUAUAUAAAACACUUCAUUUUCAAUGAAAAAAAAGACAGUUCUUGUAAGUU